ensembl:snRNA
AAAAAGGGCAUCUGUUGUGACUAACACAGUAGGGAAAGGGACUCUCUAACUCUACUGCGGAAUCGCUAUCAAGAGAUUUCGGAUGCACAAUUUUUAAAACUAGGGGCUGCUAAUGAUCGUCUGUCUUGGCGCCCCA